UGAAUACGAGAUGCUACGGCGUCGAAGCAGUCUAUGUCAUACUUCCAAGAAAAGCUUGCACUGUCAUAAACAAAUAAUGCCUGUACCAUAACCGACACAGGUGGGUAGGUAGAGUAUACUAAGGGGCGCGAGAUAACUCUCUCUAAGGAACUCGGCAAAAUGACUCCGUAACUUCGGGAGAAGGAGUGCCUUAUUUAUAAGGUUGCAAUAACAAGAUCCAAGCAACUGUUUACCAAAAACACAGGUCUCCGCUAAGUCGUAAGACGAUGUAUGGGGGCUGACGCCUGCCCAGUGCCAGAAGGUUAAAGAAGUUGGUUAGCAUCCGCGAAGCUGAUAACUGAAGCCCUGGUGAACGGCGGGCGUAACAAUAACGGUCCUAAGGUAGCGAAAUUCCUUGUCGGGUAAGUUCCGACCCGCACGAAAGGCGUAAUGAUUUGGAUACUGUCUCGGAGAGGGGCUCGGUGAAAUAGACUUGUCUGUGAAGAUGCGGACUACCUGCACCAGGACAGAAAGACCCUAUGAAGCUUUACUGUAACCUGAAAUUGAAAUUGGACUUUACUUGCGCAGUAUAGGUGGGAGGCGUUGAGAAUAUUCUUGCGGGAUUAUUGGAGCCAUCAGUGAGAUACCACUCUUGUAAUGUUAGAUUUCUAACUUUGUAUCAUUAUCUGGUCAAAGAACAGUUUCAGGCGGGCAGUUUGACUGGGGCGGUCGCCUCCUAAACGGUAACGGAGGCGCACAAAGGUUUCCUCUGAACGGGUAGAAAUCGUAUCUAGAGUGUAAAGGCAUAAGGAAGCUUGACUGUGAGACCUACAAGUCGAGCAGGGACGAAAGUCGGUCUUAGUGAUCUGACGGUGCUGAGUGGAAAGGCCGUCACUCAACGGAUAAAAGUUACUCUAAGGAUAACAGGCUGAUCUCCCCCAAGAGUUCACAUCGACGGGGAGGUUUGGCACCUCGAUGUCGGCUCAUCGCAUCCUGGGGCGGUAGUACGUCCCAAGGGUUGGGCUGUUCGCCCAUGAAAGCGGUACGCGAGCUGGGUUCAGAACGUCGUGAGACAGUUCGGUCCAUAUCCGGUGUAGGCGUUAGAAUAUUGAGAGGAGCCUUCUUUAGUACGAGAGGACCGAGAAGGACAUACCUCUGGUGUACCAGUUAUCGUGCCAACGGUAAACGCUGGGUAGCUAUGUGUGGAGUGGAUAACCGCUGAAAGCAUCUAAGUGGGAAGCCCACCUCAAGAUAAGUA
rnacentral:rRNA from 1 species